AGAGGGUGAUCGGCCACACUGGGACUGAGACACGGCCCAGACUCCUACGGGAGGCAGCAGUAGGGAAUCUUCCGCAAUGGACGAAAGUCUGACGGAGCAACGCCGCGUGAGUGAUGAAGGUUUUCGGAUCGUAAAACUCUGUUGUUAGGGAAGAACAAGUAUCGUUCGAAUAGGGCGGUACCUUGACGGUACCUAACCAGAAAGCCACGGCUAACUACGUGCCAGCAGCCGCGGUAAUACGUAGGUGGCAAGCGUUGUCCGGAAUUAUUGGGCGUAAAGCGCGCGCAGGCGGUUUCUUAAGUCUGAUGUGAAAUCUUGCGGCUCAACCGCAAGCGGCCAUUGGAAACUGGGAGACUUGAGUGCAGAAGAGGAGAGUGGAAUUCCACGUGUAGCGGUGAAAUGCGUAGAGAUGUGGAGGAACACCAGUGGCGAAGGCGACUCUCUGGUCUGUAACUGACGCUGAGGCGCGAAAGCGUGGGGAGCGAACAGGAUUAGAUACCCUGGUAGUCCACGCCGUAAACGAUGAGUGCUAAGUGUUAGAGGGUUUCC
rnacentral:rRNA from 1 species